GUCCGUGUAGCAGAAUGGCCCAUGCGUCGGUCUGCAAAACCGAAGAUGACGGUUCGAUUCCGUCGACGGACUCCA
rnacentral:tRNA from 1 species